rnacentral:rRNA from 1 species
GGGUGAGUAAUGUAUCGGAACGUGCCCAGUCGUGGGGGAUAACUAUCCGAAAGGAUAGCUAAUACCGCAUACGACCUGAGGGUGAAAGCGGGGGACCUGCAAAGGCCUCGCGCGAUUGGAGCGGCCGAUAUCGGAUUAGCUAGUUGGUGGGGUAAAGGCUCACCAAGGCGACGAUCCGUAGCGGGUCUGAGAGGACGACCCGCUACACUGGAACUGAGACACGGUCCAGACUCCUACGGGAGGCAGCAGUGGGGAAUUUUGGACAAUGGGCGCAAGCCUGAUCCAGCCAUUCCGCGUGAGUGAAGAAGGCCUUCGGGAUGUAAAGCUCUUUCAGCGGGAACGAAACGGUCGAUCCUAAUACGGUCGGCUAAUGACGGUACCUGCAGAAGAAGCACCGGCUAACUACGUGCCAGCAGCCGCGGUAAUACGUAGGGUGCGAGCGUUAAUCGGAAUUACUGGGCGUAAAGCGUGCGCAGGCGGUGACAUAAGACAGAUGUGAAAUCCCCGGGCUCAACCUGGGAACUGCGUUUGUGACUGUGUCGCUCGAGUGUAGCAGAGGGGGGUGGAAUUCCACGUGUAGCAGUGAAAUGCGUAGAGAUGUGGAGGAACACCGAUGGCGAAGGCAGCCCCCUGGGUUAACACUGACGCUCAUGCACGAAAGCGUGGGGAGCAAACAGGAUUAGAUACCCUGGUAGUCCACGCCCUAAACGAUGCCAACUAGGUGUUGGGGAAGGAGACUUCCUUAGUGCCGUAGCUAACGCGUGAAGUUGGCCGCCUGGGGAGUACGGUCGCAAGAUUAAAACUCAAAGGAAUUGACGGGGACCCGCACAAGCGGUGGAUGAUGUGGAUUAAUUCGAUGCAACGCGAAAAA